AUUGAACGCUGGCGGCAUGCCUUACACAUGCAAGUCGAACGGCAGCACGGGUGCUUGCAGCUGGUGGCGAGUGGCGAACGGGUGAGUAAUACAUCGGAACAUGUCCUGUAGUGGGGGAUAGCCCGGCGAAAGCCGGAUUAAUACCGCAUACGAUCUACGGAUGAAAGCGGGGGACCUUCGGGCCUCGCGCUAUGGGGUUGGCCGAUGGCUGAUUAGCUAGUUGGUGGGGUAAAGGCCUACCAAGGCGACGAUCAGUAGCUGGUCUGAGAGGACGAGCAGCCACACUGGGACUGAGACACGGCCCAGACUCCUACGGGAGGCAGCAGUGGGGAAUUUUGGACAAUGGGCGAAAGCCUGAUCCAGCAAUGCCGCGUGUGUGAAGAAGGCCUUCGGGUUGUAAAGCACUUUUGUCCGGAAAGAAAUCCUUGGCCCUAAUACGGUCGGGGGAUGACGGUACCGGAAGAAUAAGCACCGGCUAACUACGUG
rnacentral:rRNA from 1 species